AACGAACGCUGGCGGCAUGCCUAACACAUGCAAGUCGAACGAGACCUUCGGGUCUAGUGGCGCACGGGUGCGUAACGCGUGGGAACCUGCCCUUAGGUUCGGAAUAACUCCCCGAAAGGGGUGCUAAUACCGGAUAAUGUCUUCGGACCAAAGAUUUAUCGCCUUUGGAUGGGCCCGCGUUGGAUUAGCUAGUUGGUAGGGUAAAAGCCUACCAAGGCGACGAUCCAUAGCUGGUCUGAGAGGAUGAUCAGCCACACUGGGACUGAGACACGGCCCAGACUCUGACGGGAGGCAGCAGUGGGGAAUAUGGGACAAUGGGCGAAAGCCGGAUCCAGCAAUGCCGCGUGAGUGAUGAAGGCCUUAGGGUUGUAAAGCUCUUUUACCCGGGAUGAUAAGGACAGUACCGGGAGAAUAAGCUCCGGCGAACUCCGG
rnacentral:rRNA from 1 species